rnacentral:rRNA from 1 species
CCUACGGGCGGCAGCAGUAGGGAAUCUUCCACAAUGGGCGAAAGCCUGAUGGAGCAACGCCGCGUGGGUGAAGAAGGUCCUCGGAUCGUAAAACCCUGUUUUUAGAGAAGUAAGUGCGUGAGAGUAACUGUUUACGUUUCUACGUUAUCUAACCAGAAAGCCACGGCUAACUACGUGCCAGCAGCUGCGGUAAUACGUAGGUGGCAAGCGUUAUCCGGAUUUAUUGGGCGUAAAGGGAACGCAGGCGGUCUUUUAAGUCUGAUGUGAAAGCCUUCGGCUUAACCGGAGUAGUGCAUUGGAUACUGGGAGACUUGAGUGCAGAAGAGGAGAGUGGAACUCGAUGUGUAGCGGUGAAAUGCUUAGAUAUAUGGAAGAACACCAGUGGCGAAGGCAGCUCACUGGUCUGUAACUGACGCUGAGGUUCGAAAGCGUGGGUAGCAAACAGGAUUAGAUACCCGAGUAGUC